rnacentral:rRNA from 1 species
AGAGUUUGAUCCUGGCUCAGGAUGAACGCUGGCGGCGUGCCUAAUACAUGCAAGUCGAGCGAACAGACGAGGAGCUUGCUCCUUUGACGUUAGCGGCGGACGGGUGAGUAACACGUAGGUAACCUACCUAUAAGACUGGGAUAACUUCGGGAAACCGGAGCUAAUACCGGAUAAUAUUUCGAACCGCAUGGUUCGAUAGUGAAAGAUGGCUUUGCUAUCACUUAUAGAUGGACCUGCGCCGUAUUAGCUAGUUGGUAAGGUAACGGCUUACCAAGGCAACGAUACGUAGCCGACCUGAGAGGGUGAUCGGCCACACUGGAACUGAGACACGGUCCAGACUCCUACGGGAGGCAGCAGUAGGGAAUCUUCCGCAAUGGGCGAAAGCCUGACGGAGCAACGCCGCGUGAGUGAUGAAGGUCUUUUUUUUUUAAAACUCUGUUAUUAGGGAAGAACAAACGUGUAAGUGACUGGGCACGUCUUGACGGUACCUAAUCAGAAAGCCACGGCUAACUACGUGCCAGCAGCCGCGGUAAUACGUAGGUGGCAAGCGUUAUCCGGAAUUAUUGGGCGUAAAGCGCGCGUAGGCGGUUUUUUAAGUCUGAUGUGAAAGCCCACGGCUCAACCGUGGAGGGUCAUUGGAAACUGGAAAACUUGAGUGCAGAAGAGGAAAGUGGAAUUCCAUGUGUAGCGGUGAAAUGCGCAGAGAUAUGGAGGAACACCAGUGGCGAAGGCGACUUUCUGGUCUGUAACUGACGCUGAUGUGCGAAAGCGUGGGGAUCAAACAGGAUUAGAUACCCUGGUAGUCCACGCCGUAAACGAUGAGUGCUAAGUGUUAGGGGGUUUCCGCCCCUUAGUGCUGCAGCUACGCAUUAAGCACUCCGGCUGGGGAGUACGACCGCAGGUUGAAACUUCAAAGGAAUUGACGG